UCUGGACCGCCUGGGGGGUGACAGCAGGAAGGACCAGGCUUCGCGGGGCAGGGACCUGACCACUGUUCCCCACCCAGGUCAGGCUGUAGAGGCAGAAACAGCAGAAACCCUGCCCAUGGGCCCACCCUCGCCCUACAGGGGAUCAGGGGUGAAUGGAUCAUGGUUUGGAACCUGAUAAUUAAGACCAUGGAGCCCAACCUAUUGGCCUUCAGGCUUAAUAUCAGACUGCUGCACUUGGUGGACAGACAGGUGCAGCCUGGGGGCCCGCACCUUGGCCAGCAGGAGCAGCGUGCGGCUGGUGCGGGCGUCCGCGUGCCGCUCCCGCAGGUGAAAGAGCUUGGGCGACAUGAUGGCAGGAGAGAAGAAGCGCAGGCACAGGAAGCUGGUGACUGCGAUGAACGGCACGUUCUGGAGAGGUUUGGAGAGUGGGGGCUGGAUUCCCCCUGCCCGGGCUCCGGACAGUCCGCUCCCUUUGGCCCCGCCCCGCCUUCGGCCCCACCCCUGCUCCGCCUCCGCACCGGUUUCUUCCCCGCCCCGUCAGCUCUGACCCAGUCCUGCCGGCAGGGGGCGCACCUCGUACUGGGCGCUGGGAAAGCGCUCGCGCACGCGCCGGAAGAGCUGGCGGAAGGUGGCGCGGAUCACCGCUGGACAGGCGCGAACGGAGCGGCAGAGCGCGCUCAGCAGCGCCCCUAGGUGGGCGCGCAGCGUCUGUGCGCUCUGCUCCAGCACCUCGGCCUCCGUCUGCGGGCGGUGCAGCCCUGAGCACCUGCGAGGGCCGGGGCAGGUGGACAAGACCGCCGCGGUCAGCGCCCGCACACGGACAGAGAACACACAGAUGGGCAGAGCAGCAUCCCGUAGGCCCAGGCAGAAAGAGCCGUAAACACACACUUGCAGAAAGGCAGAUUCCCCACCGCUGCGCCCCCAGGUAUUCCCACCAGCCUCACCCUACAUCCUUAACUUCCACUUUGCUGGGGUCGAGCUCCACGUACUUCUUCUCUUCAAACACUCUGUCAAUGAUGGGGCCCAGGACGCCGUGCAGAUACCGCAUCCCUGCCACCUGGGGGCCACCACGAGCCGCACUGGUCAAGACUCCCGGGUCCAGCUGCCCACUAUCUCCCCAGCCACUCCGUGCACCAUUUGCCCACAGUAUCCACCCAGGAUGGGGCCAGGUGCACAACCAGGUGACUCAACACACUGCUUCUCAUAAAUGAGUGAAUGGAACUCUUAUGCUUUUGAGGGCACAGAGAUAAAACUGGCCUUUCUGAACCUUUGUGUCAUGUCACCCACAAGAUGAGGAUGGUAUACCAGGUAGCCUCACCUUCAGAAAAGAUUCCAUGGACUUUGAGGCCAGAGAGUUGCUUCGGAACAGCGUGUUGGCCUCACCUACAAGCAGAGGUCCCAAUGGGCAGAGGGCUGGAACAAGGCUUGGGGGGAGCAGGAGAACAGAGGACCUGGUGGCUCCUGGCCACCUCCCACCCUGUGCCACCUCUGCUCUCGCCCUCUCCACUGGACCCAUCAGCCUGCUAAGAAGGAGCCCCUCCCCUGUCCAGUGUCAGCUCCUCCCGGGCCUCACUGGUUCGCCCCAGCUCCAGCUGGAAGAGCAGGUCCAGAAAGUCCUUGGCCAGCCCCUGCCCCAGGAAGAGCUUGAGCAGCCCGGGAGGUCAGUAGGCUGCGCUGGCCAGAAUACACCCCGCACCUGGCAGAAGCUGUCAGAGGAGACCCUGGGCCCGUUCUUUGGAAAUGCUUUGGGCUGGACACACACCCGGCCACCUGCUCCUUCCUGUUAAGGGUAUGCAUGGAGGGGGGCAUGGGGGAACUUCUGCAGGGUGACAAGGCAGAACCAGCCAAGGGGUGCAAGUAGGCCAAAGGACUUCCUGGGCAGGGACGCCAGAUUUAACAAAAUAGCAACACAAGACAGUUAAGUUUGGAAUACCCCAUGGUCAUUCCUGCAUCAUCUGGAAUUCAGUUUGCCGGGGUGUCCUGUCUUCUCUCUGGCACCCUGUCCCUGGAGAAGCUUGGGGAGGGGCUUAAGGCUUAUGGCUCUGAGAGACUGACUCUAGGACUUGCACCCUGGUCUGAGGCCUGCAGAGAAGCCCUUAAAAGGAAAGCGUCUGAGGGCUUGUUCUAGAAACUGCCAGAGGCAGGACGGCUGUGUAACCCUGAGCUUGUUGCAGGACGGUGGGACAGGACAGGCGGUGGGUCCUGCUGGCUGGCAAGGACUGAAGGAAGCCUUGGCUGAGCCCCCUGCCCUUCUCCUGCCUGGUGGCCAGCAGCCAGCCCUCAAAUCUCAGACCCGCCCCAGGGCACUCACCCGCCUCGCUGGCUCUUAGACUGGUCGGGCUGCAGCCGGAACCAGCCUUCCUCUUGCUGGGCAGCAUACAGCCUCUGCAUGUUGACCACCACCUGGGGGCAGGACAGGCGGGGGCUGGGACACUCAGGCCCCUCCCUCCCAGGUACUGUUCUCUUGGGGGAAGGGCACCUUCCAAGGGCGCCUGAGCACCAGCCGCAGUGGGUGGGGGAGCUGCUGGUCCUGGGCUUCCUGGGCGCUCCUCUCUGGAGAAACUGAGGCAGGUCCCUGAGGGUGGGAUGGUGGGAAUGGGCGCCGGGUGCUGCCUGGGGUGUGUGUGCGCGUGCUUGCGUGGGGAAUGGAGGGGUGUUACCUUGCCCAGGAAGUCAUUUCGGCUGACGAGGUCCCAGUCCCAGGCCUCAAUGCACAGAGCCUCCGCAGCCCCCUCCUCCAGCUCAAAUUCAAAUGUCUCGUUCCAUCUAGGGUAGCAGGAUUUCUUCACAACCUGUUCAGAAAGGGGCAGGGGUGGGGCUCCCUCGACAGGGCUUCCGAGGCCCAGCCAAGGGCAGAGUUGCCCUGGACACUGUCCCUGGCUCUGUAGUAGCAGAGGUGAAAACUUCCUGUCCAAAGCCAAGCACAGUGGUGAGACACCUGUAAUCCCAGUGACUCAGGAGGCUGAGGCAGGAGGAUCACAAGUUUGAGACUAGCCUCAGCAACUUAGUGAAACCCUACCUCAAAAUAAAGAAAUAAAUAAAAAGAGAACAUGGCUCAGUGGUAAAGUACCCCCAGGGUUAAUUCCCAGUACAAAAACAACAACAAAAAGCAACCUUCUGGGCUGGGAUUGUGGCUCAGUGGUAGAGUGCUUGCCUAGCAGGCAUGAGGCGCUGGGUUCAAUUCUUAGCACCGCAUAUAAAUAAACAAAAGAUCCAUCAACAACUAAAAAAAAUUAAACAAAAAACAACCUUCCUG